GAUGAAGAACGUAGCGAAAUGCGAUAACUAGUGUGAAUUGCAGAAUUCAGUGAAUCAUCGAAUCUUUGAACGCACAUUGCGCCCUUUGGUAUUCCUUAGGGCAUGCCUGUUCGAGCGUCAUUUAAACCUUCAAGCUCAGCUUGGUGUUGGGUGACUGUCCGCUUCACCGCGGACUCGCCUCAAAAUUAUUGGCGGCCGGUACAUUGGCUUCGAGCGCAGCAGAAACGCGAACUCGGGCCCGUCGUAUUGGCUCCCAGAAGCUAUCUUCACAAUUUUGACCUCGGAUCAGGUAGGGAUACCCGCUGAACUUAAGCAUAUCAAUAAGCGGAGGA
rnacentral:misc_RNA from 1 species